rnacentral:misc_RNA from 1 species
AUGCGUACUGUGAAGAACCCAGAAGAGGCAGAAGUUAUAGCAUGUGCUUUAUGCAGGUGUUAUGAUUUUAGCAAGUCUGGAUUUGGUCCACGCACGGUUAUCCUCUGUGACCAGUGUGAGAAGGAAUAUCAUGUUGGCUGCUUGAAGAAACGAAAGAUAGCAGAUUUAAAGGAGUUGCCUAAAGGAAGAUGGUUCUGCUGUGCG